CCUACGGGAGGCAGCAGUGAGGAAUAUUGGUCAAUGGGCGAGAGCCUGAACCAGCCAAGUCGCGUGAGGGAGUACUGCCCUAUGGGUUGUAAACCUCUUUUGUCGGGGAGCAAAAGCCGGACGUGUCCGGCUGUGAGAGUACCCGAAGAAAAAGCAUCGGCUAACUCCGUGCCAGCAGCCGCGGUAAUACGGAGGAUGCGAGCGUUACCCGGAUUUAUUGGGUUAAAAGGGUGCGCAGGCGGAUUUUUAAGUCAGCGGUAAAAUCGUGGGGCUCAACCCCAUCCAGCCGUUGAAACUGGGGAUCUAGAGUGUGCGAGAGGUAUGCGGAAUGCGUGGUGUAGCGGUGAAAUGCAUAGAUAUCACGCAGAACCCCGAUUGCGAAGGCAGCAUACCGGUGCACAACUGACGCUCAGGCACGAAAGCGUGGGUAUCGAACAGGAUUAGAUACCCCAGUAGUC
rnacentral:rRNA from 1 species